AGCUGUGUCCUUCAGUUGAAGAUUACUCAUCACAAGGGGCCCCAUUUCAAACGGACAGGACUCAUCGAGCUGCCAGAGAACCAAUAGACCAGAGUGGAUUUCAUAUAAAGUGCGCACCCUGGAAUUGUGUUGCCGUUUAAACGAGUAUUCCUAAAAGGUGAAAAGAGUAGAGAUAAGAAAGCCCGUGAGAAGGUGACAGAGAGGCGCCCUUUGCACACUGUGGCGCUGUCCCUGCCCGAGCACGUCGAGCCCAACAGACUGCUGAGUGACUAUAUCGAGAAGGAGGUGAAGUAUUUAGGUCAGUUAACGUCCAUACCAGGAUAACUGAAUCCUUCCAGUAGGACCGAAAUCCCGCAUUUCACAGACAAUGCAGAGAGCCCACCAGCUCCCCGGACACCUGACCCAGGAGCAUGACGGUGUGAUCAGUCUGUCUGCCUACAACGUCAAGCUGGCUGGGAGGGACGGGGAGGACACCAUCCUCAGGGUCCCCAUCCAUGACAUUGCCGCCGUGUCCUACGUGCAAGAUGACGCCUCACACCUGGUGGUCCUGAAGACAGCCCAGGAUCCCAGCAUCUCCCCCAGCCAGAGUUUGUGUGCAGAAAGUUCCCGAGGCCUCACCAUAGGCUCCCUGUCGGAGAGUGGAGUGGGGCCUGUGGAGGCAUGCUGCCUGAUGAUCCUGGCCGCGGAGAGCAAGGUCGCCGUGGAAGAGCUGUGCUGCCUGCUUGGCCAGGUCUUCCAGAUCGUGUACACGGAGUCCAGUAUUGACUUCCUAGACAGAGCCAUAUUUGAUGGGGCCUCGACACCCACCCACCACCUAUCCCUUCACAGUGAUGACUCUUCCACAAAGGUGGACAUGAAGGAGCCAUAUGAGACGGAAGCCAGCACUUUCUCCUUCCCCGAGUGUGCACAUGCAGGCGGCGUCUCGCCCUUGUCCUUCUGCAUGCAGACGGCAUCCCACGCCAAGACGGUCAGCGAGAGUGAGCUGAGCACCACGGCUGCAGAGCUUCUGCAGGACUACAUGCUCACGCUGCGCACCAAGCUGUCGUCGCAGGACAUCCAGCAGUUUGCAGCGCUGCUGCACAAGUACUGUGACGGCGCCUCGGUGCACAAGUUCUGCAUCAACGUGCGACAACUCUAUGGGGACAGCCGCAAGUUCCUGCUGCUUGGUCUGCGGCCCUUCAUCCCUGAGAAAGACAGCCAGCACUUCGAGAACUUCUUGGAGACCAUUGGGGUGAAGGAUGGCCGUGGGAUCAUCAUGGACAGCUUUGGCAGGUACCGCCGGGCCACGAGCUCCACCUCCGCCUCCACCUCCAAAGGGAACAGGGCCAUGCGCAGCUCUGACGACCAGUCCACGCCCUCGAAGGGGAACAAGUGGGGCCGCACGAUUUCGGACAUCAGCAAUGACAUCAAGGCGCUGGGCUGCAGCAUGGAUCAGGACUUGGCCUGAUGGCGCCGGGGCCCCUGCCAGUCGCCCUCCUGGGCC